CCUACGGGGUGCAGCAGUCGAGAAUCAUUCACAAUGGGGGAAACCCUGAUGGUGCGACGCCGCGUGGGGGAAUGAAGGUCUUCGGAUUGUAAACCCCUGUCAUGUGGGAGCAAAUUAAAAAGAUAGUACCACAAGAGGAAGAGACGGCUAACUCUGUGCCAGCAGCCGCGGUAAUACAGAGGUCUCAAGCGUUGUUCGGAAUCACGGGGCGUAAAGCGUGCGUAGGCUGUUUCGUAAGUCGUGUGUGAAUGGCGCGGGCUCAACCCGCGGACGGCACAUGAUACUGCGAAACUAGAGUAAUGGAGGGGGAACGGGAAUUCCAGGGGUAGAAGUGAAAGGCGUAGAUAGGGAGAGGAACACUCGGGGCGAAGGCGGGUUCCUGGACAUUAACUGACGCUGAGGCACGAAGGCCAGGGGAGCGAAAGGGAUUAGAGACCCCUGUAGUC
rnacentral:rRNA from 1 species